ACCCAGCUGGGGUAAUUUCCAGUUACUCAUAACUGAAUACAUAGGUUAUGUAGAGGCAUACCAGGGGAACUGAAACAUCUAAGUACCUUGAGGAAGAGAAAACAAUAGUGAUUCCGUCAGUAGCGGCGAGCGAACGCGGAACAGCCCAAACCAGAGAGCUUGCUCUUUGGGGUUGUGGGACGUCUCACAUGGAGUUACAAAGGAACCGGUUAAACGAAGAGGUCUGGAAAGGCCCGCCAAAGAAGGUAAAAGCCCUGUAAUUGAAAGUCUGUUCCCUCCGAGACGGAUCCCGAGUAGUGCGGGGCACG
rnacentral:rRNA from 1 species